rnacentral:tRNA from 1 species
GGUGAUAUAGUUCAGUGGUAGAGAACAUGCUUAGCAUGCAUGAGGUUCUGGGUUCAAUCCCCAGCACCUCUA